rnacentral:rRNA from 1 species
CCUACGGGUGGCAGCAGUGAGGAAUAUUGGUCAAUGGACGCAAGUCUGAACCAGCCAUGCCGCGUGCAGGAAGACGGCUCUAUGAGUUGUAAACUGUUUUUGUACGAGGGUAAACGCAGAUACGCGUAUCUGUCUGAAAGUCUCGUACGAAUAAGGAUCGGCUAACUCCGUGCCAGCAGCCGCGGUAAUACGGAGGAUUCAAGCGUUAUCCGGAGUUAGUGGGUUUAAGGGGUGCGUAGGGGGACAGUCAAGUCAGCGGUAAAAAUGCGGUGCUCAACGCCGUACAGCCGUUGAAACUGGCAGUCUUGAGUGGGCGAGAAGUAUGCGGAAUGCGUGGUGUAGCGGUGAAAUGCAUAGAUAUCACGCAGAACUCCGACUGCGAAGGCAGCAUACCGGCGCCCGACUGACGCUGAGGCACGAAAGCGUGGGUAUCGAACAGGAUUAGAUACCCUUGUAGUC